GACGAACGCUGGCGGCGUGCUUAACACAUGCAAGUCGAACGGAAAGGCCCUGCUUUUGUGGGGUGCUCGAGUGGCGAACGGGUGAGUAACACGUGAGUAACCUGCCCUUGACUUUGGGAUAACUUCAGGAAACUGGGGCUAAUACCGGAUAGGAGCUCCUGCUGCAUGGUGGGGGUUGGAAAGUUUCGGCGGUUGGGGAUGGACUCGCGGCUUAUCAGCUUGUUGGUGGGGUAGUGGCUUACCAAGGCUUUGACGGGUAGCCGGCCUGAGAGGGUGACCGGCCACAUUGGGCCUGAGAUACGGCCCAGACUCCUACGGGAGGCAGCAGUGGGGAAUAUUGCACAAUGGGAGGAAGCCUGAUGCAGCAACGCCGCGUGCGGGAUGACGGCCUUCGGGUUGUAAACCGCUUUCGCCUGUGACGAAGCGUGAGUGACGGUAAUGGGUAAAGAAGCACCGGCUAACUACGUG
rnacentral:rRNA from 1 species